CCUGCUCCUAGAGGCAUUUCAGGUAUGGCUACCACCGUGUCAUAUGUACAUCAGUAGGUGACAAAGAGGAGAGAGGCUAUGUCUGUGCUUAGUGUUAUGAACUGUGAACAGCUGAAUGAUCUAUGAACAUUUAAAUGAUUACUAGCCUAACAUU
rnacentral:snoRNA from 1 species